ACGGGUGAGUAACGCGUAGACAACCAACCUUUUUGUGGGGGACAACACUUCGAAAGGAGUGCUAAUACCGCAUACGCUCUGGGAAUCGCCUGGUUUCCAGAGGAAAGGAGCUGCAAGGCUUCGCAGAAAGACGGGUCUGCGUCUGAUUAGCUAGUUGGAGGGGUAACGGCCCACCAAGGCGACGAUCAGUAGCCGGUCUGAGAGGAUGGACGGCCACACUGGGACUGAGACACGGCCCAGACUCCUACGGGAGGCAGCAGUGGGGAAUCUUCCGCAAUGGACGAAAGUCUGACGGAGCGACGCCGCGUGAGUGACGAAGGCCUUCGGGUCGUAAAGCUCUGUCGUCGGGGACGAACGGUCACAUCAGGAAAUGGGUGUGAAGUGACGGUACCCGAGAAGGAAGCCACGGCUAACUACGUGCCAGCAGCCGCGGUAAUACGUAGGUGGCGAGCGUUGUCCGGAAUUAUUGGGCGUAAAGCGCGCGCAGGUGGGAUCUUAAGUCUGUUCUCAAAGUGCGGAGCUUAACUCCGUGAUGGGAUAGAAACUGGGAUUCUUGAGUACCGGAGAGGAAAGCGGAAUUCCCCGU
rnacentral:rRNA from 1 species